AUUGAACGCUGGCGGCAUGCCUUACACAUGCAAGUCGAACGGCAGCGCGGGGCAACCUGGCGGCGAGUGGCGAACGGGUGAGUAAUAUAUCGGAACAUACCCUAGAGUGGGGAUAACGUAGCGAAAGUUACGCUAAUACCGCAUACGCACUAAGGUGGAAAGUGGGGGAUCUUCGGACCUCAUGCUCAUGGAGUGGCCGAUAUCUGAUUAGCUAGUUGGUGAGGUAAAGGCUCACCAAGGCGACGAUCAGUAGCUGGUUUGAGAGAACGACCAGCCACACUGGAACUGAGACACGGUCCAGACUCCUACGGGAGGCAGCAGUGGGAAUUUGGACAAGUGGGGGCAACCCUGAUCCAGCAAUGCCGCGUGCGGGAAGAAGCCUUCGGUGU
rnacentral:rRNA from 1 species